AGGUUCAAUCAUACCAGCGUUAAUGCACCGCAUCCUUUCAAAACUCCCCAGUUAACCAUGCUUGGGAUAGAGUAGUACUGGGAUGGGUGACCUCCUAGGAAGUCCUAUUGUUGCACCCU
rfam:Picea glauca, whole genome shotgun sequence.